AGAACGAACGCUGGCGGCAUGCCUAAUACAUGCAAGUCGAACGAACUCUUCGGAGUUAGUGGCGCACGGGUGCGUAACGCGUGGGAAUCUGCCCCUUGGUUCGGAAUAACAGUUGGAAACGACUGCUAAUACCGGAUGAUGACGAAAGUCCAAAGAUUUAUCGCCAAGGGAUGAGCCCGCGUAGGAUUAGCUAGUUGGUGAGGUAAAGGCUCACCAAGGCAACGAUCCUUAGCUGGUCUGAGAGGAUGAUCAGCCACACUGGGGACUGAGACACGGCCCAGACUCCUACGGGAGGCAGCAGUAGGGAAUAUUGGACAAUGGGCGAAAGCCUGAUCCAGCAAUGCCGCGUGAGUGAUGAAGGCCUUAGGGUGUAAAGCUCUUUAAGUGGGAGGUAA
rnacentral:rRNA from 1 species